UGUCCCACAACGAUCGAAAACGUAUUGGAUGUAAUAUCGAUGGUGCUGAACAAUAUUCUCAAUUGAAAAACAUUUAAGAACCAUCCGAAUUGGCAUGUCAAGAAGAUGCAUUAAUUGGACGUCGUAACUGCGCAUCGAUGUGUAUAUACACUGCAUUGUUUAUCAAAACAUUAUAAUCAUCAUUGUUCUAGUUUCAUUAAAAAAAAAUACUGCAAUGUGUACAUCGUACGUUAUUAUAAUAUAAUAUUAUACAUAUAUAGGUAAUUUAAAAUAUAACAACUAGGUCAAAUCAUUGCUCGGUUAAUAUAUUUGUUUUUAUUAGAUUUAAUAUCGGAUAACCGAUAUAGCGCCGCAACAUUUUGCACUCCAUAUCAUUAGCAGUAUAAUAAAUCAUGUAUUGCAGCUUCGACUAACCAUUCUUUUUUAUUUCGUUUCGACUCGACUUGAAAUCGAAUAACCAAUUAUCUACGCCUUAGAUUGUUUGUUCUAGAUAUUCAAGGAUGAAUGAUCCUAGUCAGUAUUACAGUCAGCAGAGGAAUUAGUCAAAGUAUACACCUAGUAAAAGCUACCUAGCAAAACAUUGAAUAUGACGUCUUCAAGAUGCCAGAUCACCGACCCAAAAAUUACAAACCGUUAAAAGGUAUGACAAAUUUUACUAUUUUUUAAUUUAACGAAUUUAUUCUAUAUUUAUUUCUCUAUUUAAAACAAUUUACAAAGAGUAUACAAGAAAACUUUUACUAUAAGUAAAUUGUAUAACAAUUAUUAUUAUCAGUCAAAAUUGAAUUGAAUGAUUAAUUACUGUACCCAUUAGAUUAAAAUAAUUUUGACCAGACUUAUAUGCAUACUAAAUAAUAUGUCAGUGUAUAAUUCAUAGUUGGUAGGUAACCCUGAAAAAAAGUAAUAAAAUAUCUAAAACAAAAAUCAAAUUACCUCGUGUUCAGUAGCGGCUACCGAACAACACUUCUGUCACAACUUUUCUAAUUGUAGUAUUAAUGUCAUCAGAUUUACUGUGCUAAACAUAAGAGUAUGUUGUUAGAGAUUCAUAAGUUAUGAAUGUUUAUAAGAACAAAUUGUGCCUAAUUAUAAUGCCUAUGUUUGAACUGCUACAAGAAAAACUUAAUAAUUAUUAAUUAGGAAAACGGGUAUUUUCACGGUAAAAACCAGUUCUUGACUAAAUCGAUUUUUCUAAUUUUAUUGUAACUAAAGACAAAUUUCUUCAGAUAGUUCAAAUUUCCACCAGAAGUUGCCAUUAGUCAUUUCCAGUAAAAUGUUCUAAGUAUGUUGACUGUGUUUAAGCUAUUUAUAGAGAUUAAAAAUUUUAGGUUUUUUC